GGGGAUUAUUACUUGAUGACAUGCAAUCUUUGGUUAGCCGCUUUGAGAUACUUGGCGUCCUUUGUUGCACAAUAAAUGAAGUCCCGAGAUGUCUCAUAAAUCUAAAGGAAGUAGGCUUGCACGAUCCGUGAAAUUCUGUAAUGUGGCGGAAGUCGAAAAGAGGUGUUGUUGCGCAAUCCGUAAGUUUCCGUAACUUCUUCG
rnacentral:lncRNA from 1 species